CAUGCGCUGGUUUCAUUUAAAAAAAUAAAAAAAAAAACAGUGGUGCUCGGACUUCGAAAUUUCGAACAUGCCGUUCAUUCGAUCGCACGAUAAAGGAUUUCUUCCUCAUAGGAUUCUUUUCCAAGUAUAGAUGCGCACCGGCGAAGCCGACGCCGACGCCGACGCCGACGCCGACGACACCGGCGCCGCCAAACGACUCCGUCACCGUUCGUUUACAGAAAUACACCCACGAGGAAAACGAACGUGGUAUUCCCAGAUGAGUAUGUACAAUUUUAAAGCUCGCCUCAAGAGAGCCUCUCGAUUUAUAUUCGAUAAAGUGAAACGUGAUAUAAUACUAUUUUGAAUUUUCGAUAAACCAUUGUCAGCGAAUACGAGAAUGUCUGAAGAUUUAUUAUCUAAAUGAUGAUAAUAUUUUUUCUUCCAUGAGAGAAAAUAAGAAGAUGAAGCUGUAAUAAC